rnacentral:rRNA from 1 species
GAUGAACGCUGGCGGCGUGCCUAAUACAUGCAAGUCGAGCGAACGGACGAGAAGCUUGCUUCUCUGAUGUUAGCGGCGGACGGGUGAGUAACACGUGGAUAACCUACCUAUAAGACUGGGAUAACUUCGGGAAACCGGAGCUAAUACCGGAUAAUAUUUUGAACCGCAUGGUUCAAAAGUGAAAGACGGUCUUGCUGUCACUUAUAGAUGGAUCCGCGCUGCAUUAGCUAGUUGGUAAGGUAACGGCUUACCAAGGCAACGAUGCAUAGCCGACCUGAGAGGGUGAUCGGCCACACUGGAACUGAGACACGGUCCAGACUCCUACGGGAGGCAGCAGUAGGGAAUCUGCCGCAAUGGGCGAAAGACUGACGGAGCAAAGCCGCGUGAGUGAUGAAGGUCUUCGGAUCGUAAAACUCUGUUAUUAGGGAAGAACAUAUGUGUAAGUAACUGUGCACAUCUUGACGGUACCUAAUCAGAAAGCCACGGCUAACUACGUG